CCACAGCCACCAGAAAGAAACUGUUUGAAAUCGCCAGAACGUUCUCAGAGAAGACCAAGAGGAGGAAAUCCAAAAGGAGGACUCUGCUCAAGCACCAUUCACUGGGCACAGCCAACUCCACAGCCAACCUCCUGGACGAUGUGGAAGGAAACCCCUGUGAAGAGGACGGUCAUUCUAGACGAGCUGCCACUCAGGAAGAGAACGAGCAACGCAAUGAGCCGGUGUCAUGAUCUCUGUCCCCUCCCUCCACGUGCUGCACUGUUAUCGGGGUCGCCGUUGGGGACCGCGGCACGACCCGUGGGGCGGCGGCGGCGGCCUUGCAGCGGUUCCUGUCCUGACCUCCACACCCGAUCCUAACCCGUACCAGCCGACGUUAAGACUCAGCCAUGAGUUGGGUCCGGACUGUCCCCACACACUGGGCCGACUGUAACUACAAAAGCAUUAUCUCUGUACUUUAAACAGUGUUGAUAUCUAAUUUUAAAUGUAAAAGAAAUCGCAUUAGUCCUGACCAGUAUUUGUUAACCGCUUCCUUUGAGCCUCCCCGCUGAGGCGGACUAGCUGUAGUGAUCUCUGAACCUUUCUUACUUUUCCAGUCCUGUACAGUAGCUGACGACCGUACGUAUGUUUGUAUUUAGGGUCCCUCAGGCCGGGCAUUUCCGAUCCAAAGUGUGCACAUGCCCCUUUAUAUACACUAAACCAUGUAGAGCUUUUGUACUGUGUCUUUUCUUAACCAGAUUGUAAUAUUUUGAUGUUUCUGAACGUCAAGGGUUGUGUAAUGGAAUUCUUACGUGUCCAAAUAUUGUGGCCGUGAACACAUGCGCCCGGGUCCGUAGUCGGUGCAGUCAGUGUUGAUACGGCGCGUAUUCGGAGCAGUUUACGUCAGCGCCGUCGGUCGACCAGUCGUCAACGGCCCCGACUUACGUCAGCGCCGCAGCUUUUGGAGCGGCUCCAUUUGUUUGGAAAAGUGACAAUGGAACCACGUCUCGUAUGUCGUAUGGGAAAAGGAUGGGAUUGACCUCAUUGCCAGAAAAUCUAAGGCCGUUUUCAGACUGGGUUUCAGAAUCCGUAUCGGAGUCCGUUGGACCCCCAAAGUUCGCUUCAUUUGAUCAGUGUGAAUGUGUGCAUCAGCACUGUACCCGAGUCCAGCUGAGAAGGUGGUCCGUACCCAAGACCACAAGUGACCUAACCACCGUACCGGCCUCGGAUCCAUACGGCACGGACUCACCUUAUGGACAAAACCAGUCGGUGAUAUAUGAAGGACAACGAAAGUGGGUCUGCUUCGGUUUGCCUCAAACAGGAGAACAAUAGAAAAGUAUCGUCUGGGAACGGAACAGUCGCUCGUUGAUGACGAAAGACUUUUGCCACGUUUCCACUAUGUGGCACCGACUGGACUCAACUCGGUCUUUUUGAGUUUCCAUUAUGAAGAAGGACCUGGAAUCUGGUACCUGGUGCUAGUUUUUUGGUAUCACCUCCGCUGAGGUUCCAGGACUGGGGACCAGA